GUGGGGAAUAUUGGGCAAUGGGCGAAAGCCUGACCCAGCAACGCCGCGUGAAGGAAGAAGGUCUUCGGAUCGUAAACUUCUAUCCUUGGUGAAGAUAAUGACGGUAGCCGAGAAGGAAGCCCCGGCUAACUACGUGCCAGCAGCCGCGGUAAUACGUAGGGGGCAAGCGUUGUCCGGAAUGAUUGGGCGUAAAGGGCGCGUAGGCGGCCUGGUAAGUCUGGAGUGAAAGUCCUGCUUUUAAGGUGGGAAUUGCUUUGGAUACUGUCGGGCGUGAGUGCAGGAGAGGUAAGUGGAAUUCCCGGUGUAGCGGUGAAAUGCGUAGAGAUCGGGAGGAACACCAGUGGCGAAGGCGACUUACUGGACUGUAACUGACGCUGAGGCGCGAAAGUGUGGGGAGCAAACAGGAUUAGAUACCCGUGUAGUCC
rnacentral:rRNA from 1 species